ensembl:snRNA U6 U6 spliceosomal RNA
GUGCUCUGUUUGGCAGCACCUACACUAAAAUUGAAACGAUACACAGAAAGUGGGCCUGUCUGCUGUGCAAGGAUGACACGCAAAGGUGUGCAGCAUUCUGUUUUUGU